rnacentral:tRNA from 1 species
CCGGGUGUGGCGAAGCUUGGUAUCGCGCUUGGUUCGGGUCCAAGAGGCCGUGGGUUCAAAUCCUGUCACUCGGACCA